UGAGCUUCUAAGACGAGCCUCUUGAGCUCUUCUAAGCUUCUGUUGAUGCGCUCACGGCGUCUCUUUUCCAUCACAGGCUUAGACCACUGAAAAACAAAAACACAAAUUGUAAGAUUGGCACGGCUAGAAGAGAGAACCGUGGGAAAAUCGAUAAUCUUUGGUUCCCAACGUUCCUUCAAACAGUGCUAUUAUGAUUCUGCAAUUACACAGCUCAGCGCAUCUGACGUAAACGGCAGGACAUGGGAUCGAGACCGUGAGAACGGGCUGCGCUGAUUGGUCGAGGUUAGCCGGGUCCCCAAAAGCACAGCGGACGGAGUUUAUAGCAUCAUCCAAGCAUGAACAGUCGUGUGGCUCUAGUGCCAAGAGUGUGUAAGCGUGUGUGAUUAUAAUCACCCAUGCUAAGCUCUCAGCCUCUCGUCUAUCGUACAUUAUGAAAAUGACUAAAAUGCCUAACUUCCUGGUAGCCAUUUUUGUUUCUAAAAGCUAAAAAAAUAGAGUACACAAGAAGGUUUUAUACUCAAAAAAUGUAAAAAAACAAGAACACUGUAAAUCAAAACGUAUUAGGGAGUCAAUUGUUUUCUAAUAAACCCUUUAAGAUUAGUUUGCGGCCAUUAGCUUUAGUUAGCCGUGAGAACAGGAGUCUGUGAUUGGUGGAAAGUCGUAAACAGUGGAUUCUCUUGGGCUACACUUGUAAUCAUCCCACCUAAGUUCAGUAUUCAAAUGCUUUCACACUUUAUCGUUUUCUUUGUGUACAGACAAAAGUACAGUAAAUAAAGAAUUAGUGCGCUCAAUCUC